rnacentral:rRNA from 1 species
AACGAACGCUGGCGGCAUGCCUAACACAUGCAAGUCGAACGUGAUCCGGGGCUUCGGUUCCGGUGAAAGUGGCGGACGGGUGAGUAACGCGUGGGAACCUGCCCAGUGGUAGGGGAUAACCGCGGGAAACUGCGGCUAAUACCCUAUGUGCCCUGCGGGGCAAAGAUUCAUCGCCAUUGGAGGGGCCCGCGUCGGAUUAGGUAGUUGGUGGGGUAACGGCCUACCAAGCCAUCGAUCCGUAGCUGGUCUGAGAGGAUGAUCAGCCACACUGGGACUGAGACACGGCCCAGACUCCUACGGGAGGCAGCAGUGGGGAAUCUUGGACAAUGGGCGCAAGCCUGAUCCAGCCAUGCCGCGUGAGUGAAGAAGGUCUUCGGAUUGUAAAGCUCUUUUGCCAGGGACGAUAAUGACGGUACCUGGAGAAUAAGCCCCGGCAAACUUCGUGCCAGCAGCCGCAGUAAUAC